CGACUCUAAGAAGACUGCCGGUCGGUCAAACCGGAACGGAAGGUGGGGAGUGACGUCAAGUACCUCCAUGGCCUUUAUGACCAGGGCUACACACGUACUACAAUGGCAGGUACAAAGGGCAGCCACUUAGCGAUAAGGCGCGAAUCCCGUAAAACCUGUCUCAGUCCGGAUUGGAGUCUGCAACUCGACUCCAUGAAGUUGGAAUCGCUAGUAAUCGCAGAUCAGCACGCUGCGGUGAAUACGUUCCCGGGCCUU
rnacentral:rRNA from 1 species